rnacentral:rRNA from 1 species
UACAGAGGGUGCGAGCGUUAAUCUGAAUUACUGGGCGUAAAGCGUGCGUAGACGGUAGCGUAAGUCAGAUGUGAAAGCCCCGGGCUCAACCUGGGAAUUGCAUUUGAGACUGCUCUGCUCGGGUGCGGAAGAGGGAAGCGGAAUUUCCGGUGUAGCGGUGAAAUGCGUAGAUAUCGGAAGGAACACCAGUGGCGAAAGCGGCUCACUGGACCACAACUGACGCUGAGGCGCGAAAGCUAGGGGAGCAAACAGG